rnacentral:lncRNA from 1 species
AAUAAUAUACCUCCUGGCAGUGUAUAUAUAGGCUGAUAUCCUCGGUAACCCCAGCACUCUAUACCGGCCGCUAGUACUAGUGGGAGUAUCCUGAGACGCGACCCAAAGAGCCGUCUCCUCGUCCUGAAUACAUGACAGCACUGCUUGACGCAUGCUCAUUUUCAGCCCAGUCAAUAUUUGUAGGGUCAUACGCAUCUAUCAACAUCUCUACAACUUCAUAGUUAUCUGACUGGUUGACUGAUUUUAUUCCGUCAGAAGUAAUUCCGUCGAGAAUAACCUAUUUUCUUGUAGUGUGUGUUCUUUUUUCUGAGCCAGCAAAGUAGUACGCAACCUAUUGAAAGAUGGAGCAACAUAACCAGCCAACCUGCAAUUUUCAAACAUUAACCGAAUUAGUGAGUGAGUAACUGAUUAUAGUAAAAAAAUAAGGAGACUUUGCUAGUGUUUAAUGAAAUAACACUAUUAAACCUGCUAUUUGCAAGGGUGAGUGAGUACUUCCGAAAAUAAGGAGACCUUACAAAAUUAAACGACAAACCACUGUCAUGGAAUAUCCUAG